ACCAACAAAGGUUCUCCUAUUUGGCAAUGCGGAUCAGGAAUGCUGAUGGAAAACAAGCAAGAUGCCUGGAUUAGCCUGCUGCUGUUUUUAAUGUGUCUUUUACCUCCCAAAGUAAAAAGCAAUCGAGAUGAAGUACUUCCUCCAGCGUUGCGGACGUUGGCGUGUUAUCUUUGUUUUAUUGCCGGCCAGCAGAUUGACUCCAGCUGUUCUUCUUCAUGGAUCACACUGAUGGAUGGCGGCUGACUGAGAACGUCAUCGGUUAAAAUAGAUGACCUCUGACCUGCCUUUAACCCCUUCAGAGUGUCUCCGGCUCCGCCUCCGUGUGCCGCUCACCCUCGGUGCGGCGGUCAGACAUCAUCGUGAGAGACAACGUCUCAUCAGACUGGAAAUAUUCCUGAUUUAACGCUCGACUGAGCUCGCGUUCUGUUUUUUAAGACGUUUAGUCAGCUCAAGAUGCCGUCUGGCCGCUAAACGAUGUAGAAGAAGAAAAGCUUCGAUUGAAUAUUAAUAGUCUCUUUUGCAUACAUUAAAAAGGCCGCAGAGAAAAGUUGAUGUGGGGAGAUUGAGAGCAACAUCACACACAAGCCGGUGUUGAGUGUGACUGCGGCGGUCCUUGAUGGCGCCACACAAAGUCUGCCUAGCAACAAGACCUAGCAACCCAUUCAGUUCUACCUCACAUGAACGUUUUGUUUUCUUCAAUAUAAGGGAAUUAUGACGUGACGUCAUACAACAAAACAAAAAACAUUCCAAUGAGACAAAAUUUCCUGUACGCAAUACUUCAUUAGGGUAAAAAUAAAGGGUAAAAAAACGUAUUUUUACCACAAAGCAGCAUGAUUUAUGAAUAUAUAUAUUUUUAAACCUUGAUGGACUGAAAUCGGAAGUGCAGAGUAGUACUGUGUUUACA